UUUUUCUAUUAAUUUCACGCGGAGGUUUGAUUUUGAAAGAAAGAAAGAGUACGAGAGAGAUGCACCUGCAUAAUAGAAGAGAAAAAUUAGCACACACUUCUUUUGUUGUUUUACCAAACAAGUAUUAGUUUAUAAAUUAAGAAAGAAUUUAAGAGU
rnacentral:ribozyme from 14 species